rnacentral:rRNA from 1 species
AUUGAACGCUAGCGGGAUGCCUAACACAUGCAAGUCGAACGGAGUGGCGGACGGGUGAGUAAUAUAUCGGAACGUGCCCAGUAGAGGGGGAUAACUACUCGAAAGAGUGGCUAAUACCGCAUACUAUCCGAGCGGCCGAUAUGGGAUUAGCUAGUUGGUGGGGUAAAGGCUCACCAAGGCAACGAUCCGUAGCUGGUUUGAGAGGACGACCAGCCACACUGGGACUGAGACACGGCCCAGACUCCUACGGGAGGCAGCAGUGGGGAAUUUUGGACAAUGGGGGAAAGCCUGAUCCAGCCAUCCCGCGUGUAUGAAGAAGGCCUUCGGGUUGUAAAGUACUUUUGGCAGAGAAGCGGUAUCUGCAGAAUAAGCACCGGCUAACUACGUGCCAGCAGCCGCGGUAAUUC